rnacentral:rRNA from 1 species
GAUGAACGCUGGCGGCGUGCUUAACACAUGCAAGUCGAACGGAAAGGCCUCUGCUUGCAGGGGUACUCGAGUGGCGAACGGGUGAGUAACACGUGGGUGAUCUGCCCUGUACUUCGGGAUAAGCCUGGGAAACUGGGUCUAAUACCGGAUAGGACAAUGGUUUGGAUGCCGUUGUGGAAAGUUUUUCGGUGUGGGAUGAGCUCGCGGCCUAUCAGCUUGUUGGUGGGGUAAUGGCCUACCAAGGCGUCGACGGGUAGCCGGCCUGAGAGGGUGUACGGCCACAUUGGGACUGAGAUACGGCCCAGACUCCUACGGGAGGCAGCAGUGGGGAGUAUUGCACAAUGGGCGCAAGCCUGAUGCAGCGACGCCGCGUGGGGGAUGACGGCCUUCGGGUUGUAAACUCCUUUCGCUAGGGACGAAGCGCAAGUGACGGUACCUGGAGAAGAAGCACCGGCUAACUACGUG